AGAAGAACUAGGAGUUCCGAUUUGCUAGCAUGAAAAAUAACUUUCCUGAAGUAACUAUUGUGUUUCCCUUUCUUACCAUAGUUUGGACACCUUUAAGCCCCUCGAAGCUGGUGAGAUUACGUCAGAAGACGGAGGUGACUAAAAUAUAAGGGAAAAAAAUAACUUCAGAGUGUCCCAGUUCCCCAGAGUAUCUGCCUAAUGGACCACGAACUGGAUGGGAGACUGCAGAAGGGCUGCUGUUCAAAAGCAGGAUGACUCCAAUGUAUGCCACCGUGAGGAUGCUUCCAGAGCCCUCAGUCAGUGAUUCAGCAGUGUGUGCCGAGCAUCCACUGGAAAAACACUACAGAAGAAUAAAAUAUUAUUUGAUGUCUAAUGGGCACCCUCCCAGCUAACCUGAAAGAAACUAGGAUGAGUGCCAGCCCCUGCUUUCAUUUCCCAGUUCUGAAAUGGCUAUGUAUGUCACAACCUGUGAGUCUGGAAACUCAGCACUCUCGACAGGGAACAGGUCUUCCCUGGUUGCUUCUGGGGCUGCUGGCCUUGGGGAUCUCUGCUAACCUCCCCAGGAAACUAUCUGCGGGCAAGAGUUUCUCUUUUGAUGCAGUUGUGGUUUUGCAAGUCUGUCUCUUUAGGAUUCUGAGACUGCAACCAGCUGUGGAAUGUGAUCAAGUGAUGGGAUCCUGAGAUGGAGAGGAAAGAGACAAUAGAACUACCAAAAUGGAAAAAGGUUAGUAUUUUCCAUAUUCAUUAAUGGCUUACUUGAGUU
rnacentral:lncRNA from 1 species